rnacentral:sRNA from 1 species
CAGGGGAUUGCAGUGGCAAAGCUAGGCUAGGUCUUGGAGGCUGGUGUAAGGCGAUGCGGGUGAAGGCAGGAGGCUGAUGGAGAGACUGGGGGGAAGAAAAGCCGAAAUGGAUUCACGGUGCCUUGGAUGAAGGACGAGAGGGGAACUGCAAGCUCCUUCAACUGGUUCUGUCCGGUGAGAAGUGAUCAAGCUUGGGCUGACAAGAGGCUCAGGGAGCCCUCACGUUCUUUCGCUUUUUUACCUGCCAAUCAAACUGCUACAAGACAACACCCUGAUCUGGCAUGGACAUGUAAAAGCAAUAGUCUUGGAAAAGCGAAUCUACCAGCAGGGGGCGCACCAGCCACAUCCCUGAAACCAGCCGCGCUGAAAAGCCGGUGGCCGCCUUCUCUUCUCCAGAUCUUCUCAACCUUUUCUCUUUCCUAAUCUCCAGGUCCGUGUUUACCUUAAUAUUACACCUCGAUUAAACAGAAAA